GCGCAGCAGGCGAGAAAACUUCACACUGCGCGAAAGCGCGAUGAGGGAAUCCCAAGUGCUUGCACGUAAGUGUAAGCUGUUUCUCUGUCUAAAAAGCAGAGAGAGUAAGGGCUGGGUAAGACGGGUGCCAGCCGCCGCGGUAAUACCUGCAGCUCAAGUGGUGGCCGCUAUUAUUGGGCCUAAAACGUCCGUAGCCGGUCUAGUAAAUGCCUGGGUAAAUCGUGAGGCUUAACCUUACGAAUUCCGGGUAGACUGCUAGACUUGAGACCGGGAGAGGCUAGAGGUACUCCUGGGGUAGAGGUGAAAGUUCUGUAAUCCUAGGGGGACCACCAGUGGCGAAGGCGUCUAGCUAGAACGGGUCUGACGGUGAGGGACGAAGCCCUGGGGCGCAAACCGGAUUAGAUA
rnacentral:rRNA from 1 species